UACGGAGGGUGCAAGCGUUAUCCGGAUUCACUGGGUUUAAAGGGUGCGUAGGUGGGUUGAUAAGUCAGUGGUGAAAUCCCCGAGCUUAACUUGGGAACUGCCAUUGAUACUAUUGAUCUUGAAUACCGUGGAGGUCAGCGGAAUAUGUCAUGUAGCGGUGAAAUGCUUAGAUAUGACAUAGAACACCAAUUGCGAAGGCAGCUGGCUACGCGAAUAUUGACGCUGAGGCACGAAAGCGUGGGGAUCAAACAGG
rnacentral:rRNA from 1 species